rnacentral:rRNA from 1 species
AGUAACACGUGAGCAACCUACCUUCGAGUUGGGGAUAGCCCUGGGAAACCAGGAUUAAUACCCGAUGUGGUCACGACAGGACAUCCUGAUGUGAGUAAAGGCGAAAGCCGCUCGAUGACGGGCUCGCGGCCUAUUAGCUUGUUGGUGGGGUAACGGCCUACCAAGGCGAUGAUGGGUAGCUGGUCUGAGAGGACGGUCAGCCACACUGGGACUGAGACACGGCCCAG